GAUGAACGCUGGCGGCGUGCCUAAUACAUGCAAGUCGAGCGACCAGACGAGGAGCUUGCUCCUCUGACGUUAGCGGCGGACGGGUGAGUAACACAUGGAUAACCUACCUCUAAGACUGGGAUAACUUCGGGAAACCGGAGAUAAUACCGGAUAAUACAUCGAACCGCAUGGUUCAAUAGAGAAAGACGGUUUUGCCGUCACUUAUAGAUGGAUCCGCGCCGCCUUAGCUAGUUGGUAAGGUAACGGCUUACCAAGGCAACGAUGCUGAGCCGACCUGAGAGGAUGAUCUGCCACCCUGGAACUGAGACACGGUCCAGCCUCCUACGGGAGGCAGCAGUAGGGAAUCUUCCGCAAUGGGCGAAAGCCUGACGGAGCAACGCCGCGUGGGUGAUGAAGGUCUUCGGAUCGUAAAGCUCUUUUCUUAGGGAAGAACAAAUGUAUAAUUAACUCUGCACGUCUUGACGGUACCUAAACAAAAAGCCCCGGCUAACUACGUG
rnacentral:rRNA from 1 species